UUUCCGGUUGAUCCUGCCGGAGGCCACUGCUAUCGGGGUUCGAUUUAGCCAUGCGAGUCGAGAGGGUUUAGACCCUCGGCGGACUGCUCAGUAACACGUGGAUAACCUGCCCUAAGGUGGAGGAUAACCCCGGGAAACUGGGGAUAAUACUCCAUAGAUUAGAGAUACUGGAAUGUUCUUUAGUCAAAAGUUCUGGCGCCUUAGGAUGGAUCUGCGGUCGAUUAGGUUGUUGUUGGGGUAACGACCCAACAAGCCUGUAAUCGAUACGGGUUGUGGGAGCAAUAGCCCGGAGAUGGAAUCUGAGACAAGAUUCCAGGCCCUACGGGGCGCAGCAGGCGCGAAAACUUUACAAUGCAGGAAACUGUGAUAAAGGAACCCCGAGUGCCCGUAUACGCGGGCUGUCCAGGUGUUUAAAAGUCAUCUGAAGAAAGGGCCGGGCAAGACCGGUGCCAGCCGCCGCGGUAAUACCGGCGGCUCGAGUGGUGGCCACUAUUAUUGGGCUUAAAGCGUCCGUAGCUGGACUGAUAAGUCUCUUGGGAAAUCCGCCGGCUCAACCGGCGGGCGUCUAAGGGAUACUGUUGGUCUAGGGACCGGGAGAGGUGAGAGGUACUCCGGGGGUAGGAGUGAAAUCCUGUAAUCCCCGGGGGACCA
rnacentral:rRNA from 1 species